rnacentral:lncRNA from 1 species
CCUGGCACUCAGCAGACAUUCUGAUGCUGUUUACAGAAUGAUUCAGUGAGUGGGAGGGAAAGCCUGAGAAAGAAGAACAAGAAUUGCUUUCCUUUCUGAGCCAUGUGUGCCUUGGGAAUCCACUUUGGGGAAGAAAGAAGACCUGCGAAUUAAUCUUGGGAGGACUUUGAGUUACAAGAAACAGAAGUGGAUCCUAGAUGAUGCAGGCCUUUCCUCAAAUAUAGAAAAACUAUUUGGAAGACCAUGGGUCUGAAUGCAAAGUGCUAUCCUGAGUUGGAUCCUGGAACGAAAAAAGGACAUCAGUAGAAAAACAGCCCCUUUCACCCCUUCUCCCUCUGUGGCAGAGCAAGAGCCUUUUCCACUCUGCAGACCUGUAGCUACAACUGCCCCUGCCCUGGGAACCUGGCUCAGCCAUCACCGCAACGCACAGGGACGCCAGACCAUGACACCUGACCUCUUUCUCCAACUAAGCACCAGUCCUCUCUCUUCUUGGAUUUAAGCAAGAAACAGCAUAGAACUGUGGAAAGGGUGUGUAAUUCAGAGUUCGACCAAACUAGUUCUAAAAUGUGAACUCAAGCUGCUGAUAGAUGUAUUCAUUAAUUUGUGGUGAUCAGUAUACAACGUAGACAUAUGCCAAAUCAUCAUGCUGUACACCUUGAACAUAUAAAAUUUUAAUUUGCCAAUUAAGUAUUUUCAAUAAAAAUAAAAUAACCCCUUUUUAAAAAUGAAAA